UAUUUUUGCAUUUUUAUAUUUAUUUUAUUAAUAAAAUAAUUUAAAAAAAUUUUGGUGAAUAAUUUGAUUUUUUGUGAAUUUUUAGUGAUUUUUAUGAUUUUUUUUAUUUUUUAUGAUUUUUUAUAUAUAUAUUUUUAAUAUUUAUUUUAUUAAUAAAAUAAAUUAAAAAAAAAUUAAAAAAAAAUAAAACCGACACGUCAUCGUUUUUGAACAGUACCGGUUACUGUUUUGACUUGAUAUAAAAAUAAGCUAAGUUGGAGGUUUCUUUUGAUAAAAGUGUCACUUUAAAGGUUUAAAGUGCUUGUGAAAUACUCUUAGGGUUUAAAGUGUAAGUGACUGCCAUCUUGAAAGUUUUUUAUGCGAUUUUCCUAUAUAUAUCUAAUUAUAUAAAGUAAUGUGUGCUUCUCUCACAUGAAGCCACGUCACUAAGUCGGAUGUCCACAGCGCGACACCUGUCCCUUUUACAGAAACUCUGCUUUUCAUUUAACUUUAGGCGGAAAAACUUUGGGCUUUCUGGUGUUUUUAUAAUUACAGCCCAAAAUCAAUCAGACCUUUUGUCUUCAUCUCUUUACGCCGCUAGGGUUCGUGUUCUUCGAAUAAGCUAUCUCUAAGAAAAAUCAGAAGCGUUCCCACACACCUGGUGUUUUGAGGAAUUUUGCUGAAUGAAAUCGAGAUGAAGAAUCUCUUUGUUUAUCUCCACUCGCGUCGUGUACUCUUCUAUUCUACUAAACCGAAGCCGUCCCUUCUGAAGAACAAGAAGUAUUUUUCUCGACAAAUCUGACUCUGCAUUGUCUCGAUCGAUGUUCCAUCCCCUCGCUCCGAUACCGUCGUUUGUUGCAUUCAAAAAUACUCAUUUAGGCUAGCUUUUAACACCACUGACCCACGUCUCCCAGACCUAUAAAUAAGGGUUCUCGGUCUGCUAGAUUCACCAGAUUCUCCUUUUGGCAUCAUUGGAAUCCUUAGAAAAUCUCGCACCAGGAAUGGCUGUCCCAACGAUUUUACUCGCCAACUUCAAAGCUGGAAGCCAUUCCAACACCGUCAGAGUCCGAUUGUUUAGAUUCUGGGAAGUCUGAAACUUUAAGAAAUGCGGCAAACUCAUGGCUUAAGUGUCUCAUGGGUGUCGACAUGCUCCUCAGGUAAUUUCGGUGUCAUUUAACUCUUUUUUUGAGAAAAAUUUCAUAUAACUCUUUGUUCCUCCUUUAACUGCUUUUUAAUUCAGACUGGAAAGUUAAAUUCCUUUUGUUUUUGACCUAUCACCUUCGACAAUGAUUCAAGGUCCUGUUAACACACACUGGUUAACGCUUUCAAACAGGAAGGCUCAUUUAUAAACCAUUAUAAACCAUUACUUUCAUUAUAAACAUUUGGAUUUGGAUGAUGUUGAGGUGAACCCAUAUGUGCUUGCUUUGUUUUUUUUUUUUUGUUUCUGGGACAGCCAUUGCUUCCCAUUUCUUCAUUUGAAUACUUGAUUUACUUCUUUCACUUUUUCAGGUCAAACUUGGAGAGCUAGAAGAUUUUGAAAUCAAUGCUAUUAAUGACAAGCUGCAUCGCUCUUACAAUGUAACUUAUGGAGUACAAGCUCCUUCUUGACAAGGCUGGUGAUCUUUUUGCUUCAGCCUUUAAAAGUGUUACCACUCAACAGAGGUAGAUAGAAUCAUAACAAGUGGGUGAAGACGACCUCGAGGCUCUUUCUGUAGGAAGUACGAGACUUGCGACCGUUUUACCUUUUUAAGUUGUGUUUUCUGCAAAUGGCGUACAAGCUGUCCUUCCUAACAUGAGAAUUCUAUUGAUCCAACAAAGCAAGUAAAGCUUGGAUUCGGUACUAGGCUGGAGCCUCGCAAAAAGUCUAUGGUGUUCAAGAGGAUCAUAUUUUGUUCAACUAGGGCAACAUCUUAAUACAACAGUUUUUCAUUGAGGAGUUUGUUGUUGAUCCCAACUCUGGGGAGAAGGUUAACUUCUUAUUUUCUACUCUUAGCUUUUUACACAUUAAAAGUGCAGCCUUUUUCUAUUUGCAGGAGUUUUACUGCUUUCUUAAUGUAUAUUUUUUUCUCCCCAUAGGCUCAUGCAAGUAUAAAUUCUAUAUGUAGUUUAUACGUUCUCAUCUGCAUAUGUUUAUAUUUGAUGUUGGUACUGCCUCCAUGGUUAUUAUAUUUUGUUUUGUUGAUCUA